rnacentral:rRNA from 1 species
CGGAGGAUCCAAGCGUUAUCCGGAAUCAUUGGGUUUAAAGGGUCCGUAGGCGGUCUAAUAAGUCAGUGGUGAAAGCCCAUCGCUCAACGGUGGAACGGCCAUUGAUACUGCUGGACUUGAAUUAUUAGGAAGUAACUAGAAUAUGUAGUGUAGCGGUGAAAUGCUUAGAGAUUACAUGGAAUACCAAUUGCGAAGGCAGGUUACUACUAAUGGAUUGACGCUGAUGGACGAAAGCGUGGGUAGCGAACAGGAUUAGAUACCCUGGUAGUCCACGCCGUAAACGAUGGAUACUAGCUGUUGGGCGCAAGUUCAGUGGCUAAGCGAAAGUGAUAAGUAUCCCACCUGGGGAGUACGUUCGCAAGAAUG